rnacentral:pre_miRNA from 1 species
GUAGUAUUCCCUCCGUCCCAAAAUUCUUGUCUUACAUUUGUUUAGAUACGCAUGUAUCUAACACUAAAAUGUAACUAGAUACAUCCAUAUUUAGACAAAUUUAAGACAAGAAUUUUGGGAUGGAGGGAGUACAAA